AGCCCUGCCUUGCAAAGAGCACUCAGGUGGGAGUGGCUGACCGCAGGGAAGGUCUGACUUCUGAGUUGGGUGGCUUUGGAUUUCUCUCCAUCUGCUGGCGUCCUGCAGCAGGGGGGCUCCAUGGCUGAUGACAUUGACUGGCUGGACCUGCCCGGCAGGUGGACGUAUGGAGUAUGUGAAGGCGGGCGAGUCUUCUUCAUCAACGAUGAGACAAAAUCUACCAGCUGGGUGCACCCAGGCACUGGAUCCCCCAUCCAGAGUGGGCACUUUGCCAGCACAGACUUUCCCAAAGGCUGGGAGACAGGCACCACACGCCAGGGGGCCAUAUAUUUUAUCAA